rnacentral:rRNA from 1 species
UGAAAAUCCCGACUUCGGAAGGGAUGUAUUUAUUAGAUUAAAAACCAAUGCCCCUCGGGGCUCUCUGGKGAAUCAUGAUAACUAGUCGAAUCGACAGGSCUUGUGCCGGCGAUGGCUCAUUCAAAUUUCUUCCCUAUCAACUUUCGAUGUUUGGGUAUUGGCCAAACAUGGUGGCAACGGGUAACGGAGGGUUAGGGCUCGACCCCGGAGAAGGAGCCUGAGAAACGGCUACUACAUCCAAGGAAGGCAGCAGGCGCGCAAAUUACCCAAUCCCGACACGGGGAGGUAGUGACAAUAAAUACUGAUACAGGGCUCUUUUGGGUCUUGUAAUCGGAAUGAGUACAAUUUAAAUCCCUUAACGAGGAACAAUUGGAGGGCAAGUCUGGUGCCAGCAGCCGCGGUAAUUCCAGCUCCAAUAGCGUAUAUUAAAGUUGUUGUGGUUAAAAAGCUCGUAGUUGAACCUUGGGCCUGGCUGGCCGGUCCGCCUCACCGCGUGCACUGGUCCGGCCGGGCCUUUCCCUCUGCGGAACCCCAUGCCCUUCACUGGGUGUGGCGGGGAAACAGGACUUUUACUUU